rnacentral:rRNA from 1 species
UAGAGGAAGUAAAAGUCGUAACAAGGUUUCCGUAGGUGAACCUGCGGAAGGAUCAUUACAGAAUUUUGAGAGGGGUUGUAGCUGGCCGGAAGGCAUGUGCACGCCUCGAUCAUCAUCCAUCUCACACCUGUGCACAUACUGUAGGUCGGUUUGUGGGGUGAAGUCUUCAUUGAUUUCGCUCUGUGGGCCUUCCUAUGUUYUAUUACAAACUACUAGUUUCAAGAAUGUCUACUGCGUGUAACGCAUUUAUAUACAACUUUCAGCAACGGAUCUCUUGGCUCUCGCAUCGAUGAAGAACGCAGCGAAAUGCGAUAAGUAAUGUGAAUUGCAGAAUUCAGUGAAUCAUCGAAUCUUUGAACGCACCUUGCGCUCCUUGGUAUUCCGAGGAGCAUGCCUGUUUGAGUGUCAUGGAAUUCUCAACUUCAUUUGCUUUUGUGAACGAAGCUUGGAYUUGGAGGUUGUUGCUGGCCAUAUGGAUCGGCUCCUCUUGAAUAUAUUAGCUCGAACCUUUGUGGAUCAGCUUCGGUGUGAUAAUUGUCUACGCCGUUCUGUAAAGCAUAGCUAUAGGUUUCGGCUUCUAAUAGUCCUUCGCUGGACAAUAUCUUUGACCUUUGACCUCAAAUCAGGUAGGAUUACCCGCUGAACUUAAGCAUAUC